rnacentral:rRNA from 1 species
UAGUAUUCUAUACUUAAAAUAAUAGUACCGGGGUAGUAAACAGUUAUGUCCUCGAAACUCAAAGGAUUUGGCGGUAUUUUAGUCUUGUUAGAGGAACCUGUAGUAUAAACGAUAAACCACGAAUAUCUUACCUUUAUAUAGUAAAGUUUGUAUACCGUCAUUAUUAGAUAAGCUUAAAAAGGGUUAUUGAAAUAGCAUGUAAAGUGCUAAUAUAUUAGAUCAAGGUGCAGCUUAUAAUAAGGCAUUUAUGGGUUACAAUAGUAUAUCACUAGUCGAAUUUCUCUUUGUAUUAAAGGAGAAUGAAGGUGGAUUUAAGAGUAAUUUUGUACAUUAUAUCAAAAUGGUAGUAGCUCUAGAAUAU